rnacentral:rRNA from 1 species
GAUGAACGCUGGCGGCGUGCCUAAUACAUGCAAGUCGAGCGAACAGAUAAGGAGCUUGCUCCUUUGACGUUAGCGGCGGACGGGUGAGUAACACGUGGGUAACCUACCUAUAAGACUGGGAUAACUUCGGGAAACCGGAGCUAAUACCGGAUAACAUUUGGAACCGCAUGGUUCUAAAGUGAAAGAUGGUUUUGCUAUCACUUAUAGAUGGACCCGCGCCGUAUUAGCUAGUUGGUAAGGUAACGGCUUACCAAGGCAACGAUACGUAGCCGACCUGAGAGGGUGAUCGGCCACACGGGAACUGAGACACGGUCCAGACUCCUACGGGAGGCAGCAGUAGGGAAUCUUCCGCGAUGGGCGAAAGCCUGACGGAGCAACGCCGCGUGAGUGAUGAAGGGUUUCUGCUCGUAAAACUCUGUUAUUAGGGAAGAACAAACGUGUAAGUAACUGUGCACGUCUUGACGGUACCUAAUCAGAAAGCCACGGCUAACUACGUG